ACCCACUGCCUGCUAAAAUGUUCUUUAGCAUCUACUGGCUGUUGACACUAUGUUGUGAAGGAAGGAUUUGAAAGCUGAGCUUUGACAGGAAGGAAGGAAACACAAGUUUCCUGGGGACCCGCAGUGGGGAAGGAAGAACUGACAAAGCAAGGAGACAGGGAAGACUUGGAGGAGAAAGCCAGGAGACUCCAUUAAAUUAAUUGGAUAAAUGAGGAAAUUAUUCACACAAGAAGAAUAAGGAACAAUGAGAGGAGAAAACAACAACAACAUGGAAAGAUUGGGGAUAUCGCUGAUUCUCAGCAACAACUGGAGCCAGAACGAGACCCUCAGACAAUGCUAGUUCUCUCUCUCCAGCAUUCAGUUCAGUUUCUCUGCCCUAGGUUCAUUCUCUCAGCCCAUGCUGACUUCCAUCAUAGGGAGAGAAACAUGGAUGCCACCAACAGAAAACCCUUCACCCCAUGCCUUAGUCUUCAGCAUAGAUUUACUUCCCAGUCUUAGUAAGAAAAUCCCAGAAAUAUUCUGAAUGGAUCAUCCAGGUUCAAGGGCCCGCCCAUCAGCCCAGCAACCACACCUAAAGGAGGGGCAUUCCUCCAGUAUCCUGGGUUAGAGGAGGAGAGAACAGUUACCAAAAGAUGGAAAGUUCUUCCCCAGAAGAUAGGAGGAAAAUGGUGUGCCACUGGCAAAGUACGUGCUGAAGAUAAAACCAAAACGGGUCAAAGCCCUAGAAUCCAGUCUACCAGACCAUAUUUGGAGAUAAAGGCCUUUAAAGAGAGAAUGAAGUUAAAAUGAGGCCAUAAUCCAAUCUGAUAGGAGUCCUUUGAAGAAGAGGAGUCUAGGACACAUAGAGUCAUUAAAGUCAUAGGCACCAAGAAAAGACCACCAUGCAUGGGCACAGCAAGAAGGCAGCCAGCUUCAAGCCAAGGGGAGAAGCCCCAGAAAAAACCAAACCUGCCCACACCCUGUUGUAAGACCUUUAGCCUCCAGAACUGUGAGAAUAUAAAUUUCCAUUGUUUAAGCCACCUGCUCUGUGGUAAUUUGUUUUACCACAAUUUGUAUAUUCAUUACUCUGGUGAUAGACAUUUGGGUUGCUUCUAGUUUUGGACUAUUACAAAUAAAGCU